AUGCUAGAGCACUUUUUCAAUGUGCUCCCCAACAAGAAAGCGAUGACGCAUUCGUAUGUCAAUACAUAUCAACUUUCGAUGCCAUUGACUGAGCCUAGCAUGGUGACCACAGGUAACGGGGAAUCAGGGUUCGAUUCCAUACAGGGACCCUGACAAACGGCUACCACAUGCAAGGAAGGCA